AAUUUACCGCUGGCGGCAGGCCUAACACAUGCAAGUCGAAGGCGAAAGUCCUUCGGGGCAAGUAGAGCGGCGGACGGGUGAGUAAUGCUUGGGAAUCUACCUAGUAGUGGGGGAUAACGUGUGGAAACGCACGCUAAUACCGCGUACGUCCUACGGGAGAAAGCAGGGGAUCUUCGGACCUUGUGCUAUUGGAUGAGCCCAAGUCGGAUUAGCUAGUUGGUGGGGUAAUGGCUCACCAAGGCGACGAUCCGUAGCUGGUCUGAGAGGAUGAUCAGCCACACUGGGACUGAGACACGGCCCAGACUCCUACGGGAGGCAGCAGUGGGGAAUAUUGGACAAUGGGCGAAAGCCUGAUCCAGCCAUGCCGCGUGUGUGAAGAAGGCUCUAGGGUUGUAAAGCACUUUCAGUAGGGAGGAACGGUUGUUGAUUAAUACUCACCAAUUUUGACGUUACCUACAGAAGAAGCACCGGCAAACUCCGUGCCAGCAGCCGCGGUAAUACGGAGGGUGCGAGCGUUAAUCGGAAUUACUGGGCGUAAAGCGCGCGUAGGUGGUUUGAUAAGCUAGCUGUGAAAGCCCUGGGCUCAACCUGGGAACUGCAGUUAGAACUGUCUGGCUAGAGUACAGUAGAGGGUGGCGGAAUUUCCUGUGUAGCGGUGAAAUGCGUAGAUAUAGGAAGGAACAUCAGUGGCGAAGGCGGCCACCUGGACUGAUACUGA
rnacentral:rRNA from 1 species